AGAAUCAACGCUGGCGGCGUGCCUAACACAUGCAAGUCGAACGAGAAAGGGUAGCAAUACCUGAGUAAAGUGGCGCACGGGUGAGUAACACGUGACUAACCUACCUUUUAGUGGGGGAUAACCUAGGGAAACCUGGGCUAAUACCGCAUAAUACCUACGGGUCAAAGCAGCAAUGCGCUGAUAGAGGGGUCGCGGCCGAUUAGCUAGUUGGCGGGGUAAUGGCCCACCAAGGGCAGUGAUCGGUA
rnacentral:rRNA from 1 species